UCCACUCAAACACUACAAUGGACGUGUGUUGAAUCAAGAGUAGAUAGUAAGCGCCUUUAUUAUGGUCGUUUCAUUCUGUCCCCGCUUAGAAAAGGUCAAGCGGACACCGUCGGUAUUGCCUUGGUAAUUCCAUCAAUAACACCCUUAUCAAAAAACUCCGUGAGUUCGGUUAACCCUCUUAUACCGAGCGUAAAGACCCUAGUAUAG
rnacentral:rRNA from 1 species